CCUAAAAAAAAUGCAUAAACAACUCAAGCUGUGAAAUUAUAUUAUUUCUGAUAACGUUGAAUAUGAAUUUCAAGAACGCGAAAAGUUUUGGAUACUUACGUAGGUACCUAAACAACAUAUUUAUCACUUAUGGCCAGUUCCUGUAAUUUCUUGUGCAAUAAAUCGAGUGACAAUGUGUUAUUUUCAUUUUUUAAUCAAUGUUUUUUUUAAAUUGUAUACCUACCAUAUUAUUGAAACUUCACAAAUAAAAAUUUCACAAUGUAUAUGUAAAAUAACAUGACAUAUGACUUGACGCAAAUACAAAUGGGUGGUCAUCCUCGUGUAAUCUAUAGGUAUAUAUAAGAAUGUGUACUCCAACUAGAGUCAUUAUAGUUUUCAUUCAACUUGUGAUUUAGUAAAGAAACACAGGUUCAUUAAAAGGCAACGUUUUUUGCUAUAGGUAUGUAUUCAAUCGUUUUCGCGUGGUUAAAGUACUUAAUUGAAGAGUCUACAGAAAGAAUCAGGAUGAUUGAAGGAAAAGUUAUUCUUCGGAUCAUAACAAUAACCUGUGCAUUGUUGAUUUUUUUCAAUAACGUGAAUUUUGUGAGUGCGCGGAAAGAUGUAUACGAUCAUUGUGACUAUGGAAAAUGCUCUGACCUAUGCACACAGCAGUAUCCAGGGUCUCUUGGGAUAUUGGCACCUGCCUCAGCAGUUUGCGAUGCUGAUAACUUCUGUCAAUGUUAUAGAAUUAACGAAGAUAUGAGUACAUAUAACCUAAAUCAUAAUAACUAACAAAAGCAUCAGAAAGUAAGAAGUUCACCUAUGAAUUAAUUUAGCUGCGUGGAUCAACCUUAUUAGGUACCUAUAUAUUUCCUUAAUUAUUAGCCGAUUCACGCACAUAAUACCUACAUGUAAUUAUUCCUUCGUUAGAAUUAAGCCACAUUUUGAAAAUAAUUUAAAUAUUUUUCUUGCUCUUCGGCAUAAUAAUAUCAAUAUCACUAGGUAAUGUUUGAAACGCUCAAAUUAAUAAAUUUUAUUACCUAGGACCCUUAAAUGUAUCCAGCUGCAUAAACUAAACUUAUUAGUAAUUUUAUUACAUACCUAUUUAUGUAUGUAGAUACUAAAUCAUUUCUUAGUUGAUUUAUACACACAUGUAAUUACAGGCAUUACCUAUAAAUAUAUUUAAUGCGCUAGAAUUAAACUGCACUUUGAAAAUGA